rnacentral:tRNA from 3 species
UCGGGAAGUAGCUCAGCUUGGUAGAGCACAUGGUUUGGGACCAUGGGGUCGCAGGUUCGAAUCCUGUCUUCCCGAU